AGCCCUGUCAAGAGGUUCUACCGCGUGGGAGAAAAGGUCACGUACACCUGCGACGAAGGGUACACUCUGGACUCCAGACAUACCAGCAGAGUCAGGUGCCUCCAAGGGGGCAUCUGGCAAUAUGACAAGCCCAGCUGUUCAGUGGACAUCAAAGGUACGCUGCAAGAUGACCUGCUCUACGGGUACAGUCCCAACCAGGCGCCUGAUGCUGACACAGCAAUCACCUUCAGUGGCACUGUGGAACAGAUCACCGACCUGGACGAAAAGAAGGAGCUUCUUGUAGCCACUUUAGUCAUCGAAUUCACCUGGCAGGACAGCCGGCUGACGUGGUGGCCAGAGUACUACGGGAACAUCCAGACCCUCAUUGUGCGGGACAGCAGCAUCUGGAC